rnacentral:rRNA from 1 species
UAGAGUUUGAUCCUGGCUCAGAUUGAACGCUGGCGGCAUGCCUAACACAUGCAAGUCGAACGGCAGCACAGGUAGCAAUACCGGGUGGCGAGUGGCGGACGGGUGAGGAAUACAUCGGGACCUGCCCAGACGUGGGGGAUAACGUAGGGAAACUUACGCUAAUACCGCAUACGUCCUACGGGAGAAAGCGGGGGAUCUUCGGACCUCGCGCGGUUGGAUGGACCGAUGUUCGAUUAGCUAGUUGGUGAGGUAAUGGCUCACCAAGGCGACGAUCGAUAGCUGGUCUGAGAGGAUGAUCAGCCACACUGGGACUGAGACACGGCCCAGACUCCUACGGGAGGCAGCAGUGGGGAAUAUUGGACAAUGGGCGCAAGCCUGAUCCAGCAAUGCCGCGUGUGUGAAGAAGGCCUUCGGGUUGUAAAGCACUUUUAUCAGGAGCGAAAUACUACGGGUUAAUACCUCGUGGGGCUGACGGUACCUGAGGAAUAAGCACCGGCUAACUUCGUGCCAGCAGCCGCGGUAAUACGAAGGGUGCAAGCGUUAAUCGGAAUUACUGGGCGUAAAGCGUGCGUAGGCGGUUUUUUAAGUCUGCUGUGAAAUCCCCGGGCUCAACCUGGGAAUGGCAGUGGAUACUGGAAAGCUAGAGUGUGAGAGAGGAUGGUGGAAUUCCCGGUGUAGCGGUGAAAUGCGUAGAGAUCGGGAGGAACAUCAGUGGCGAAGGCGGCCA